rnacentral:rRNA from 1 species
CGGCGGUAAUACCUGUGAGGAAACACCUGUUCCCAUUCCGAACACAGAAGUUAAGAUCACAAGGGCCUAUGGUACUUACUGCUAAUUCGCGGUUGGGAGAGUAGGACGCCGC